AUUUAAUAUAACGAGUCCUAAAUAGGACGAAACGCGCGUCCUGAAU
rnacentral:hammerhead_ribozyme from 1 species